UACGUAGGGUGCGAGCGUUGUCCGGAAUUAUUGGGCGUAAAGAGCUCGUAGGCGGCUUGUCGCGUCGGAUGUGAAAGCCCGGGGCUUAACUCCGGGUCUGCAUUCGAUACGGGCAGGCUAGAGUUCGGUAGGGGAGAUCGGAAUUCCUGGUGUAGCGGUGAAAUGCGCAGAUAUCAGGAGGAACACCGGUGGCGAAGGCGGCCCGCUGGGCUAUUGCUGACACUGAACCGCGACAGCGUGGGGAGCAAACAGG
rnacentral:rRNA from 1 species